GGAAGCGGAGCAUCUGUCUACAUCCGGGUCACGAAUCUCGGUUUUCGCGGACGCUUCGUUCGUUUAUCCGUCUGUGCCAGGACCAGUCCUCCCAGUUCAGCGUGGGUCUGCUUCUUCUCCAGAUCGGGCGGAUUCUGUCUGUCCAGCAGAAGAAGAAGUGAGUGAAGAUGUCGGACGAAGAGGAUGCGGCUCCGGCCGUGAAGAAGAGUCGUGUUUUCUAUGGCAGCCUGGAGGAGAAGGAGCGCGAGCGUCUGAGCGGCGAGGCGGCGAGCAGCGCCGGGGCAAACAGCGAUGCAGUGAAGGCUGGGAUCGAGGCAGGAAACAUCAACAUCUCAUCAGGGGAAACCCUGGAGAUGGAGGAGCGAGUCAGCGAGCGGCAGCAGGAAGCGCUUGCUGAGUUUGAGCGGCGGCGACGAGCGCGACAGAUCACCGUCUCUACCGACGACGGUGAGGUGAAGGCUGGCCUCCGAGCACUUGGAGAGCCAAUCACAUUGUUCGGAGAGGGACCAGCUGACCGACGAGAGAGGUGGGAACAAUUCUCCAGCUUUUACUUUGAGUUUUCAAAGUGCUGCAGGUGGUGAAACAUUCUUAUGAUUGAAAUAUUUCACUAAACUGGAAAGAAGAUCACAUGAACAUGUCUCUUCUGAGGUCAACACUGUCAGCCAAUUAGACUGCAGCCAUCGUUCUACUGUGUGUGUUCACAGAAACUGUCUGUUUAGAUUCUCCAUCAUCAGAACCGAAUCAGUUCCAGGUGAACACAGCGUUUUUAUCCAGAGCUGCACGGAUGCAUCAGACCACCGUCAAAAAACCGAGAAAACAAAAAUAUUGUAGAAAUCUUUCAAAAACUCGUUGAAAACUAAAAAUGUUCUUGUUAUUUAUUUGCCAAGUAACAAACUGAAACAGCUAAACAGUCCUUUUUCACACAUAGUAACCACAAACCUUCAGAUCUUCUGUGGCCUCCUUCGGUCUUGACAACAGCUGCUUCUUGCUGCCAUCCUUUUAUGAACUCUUCCACAGUCUGGUGUUACUGAGCUCCACAUAGUCUCUAGAUGUUCGCACACUUGCUUUAGAGGAAACUUUGAAUGUACGACAUCCCAAAUGUGUUCCAUAGGACCCAAAUCCAGACUCUGACUGGGCCGGUCCAUCAGUUCCAGAGCUCCAGAUUCCUUUUUCUGGGUCAGAUGGUCUCUGCACAGCUUUGAAGUCUGCUGGGCUCAUUGUCUGGUUGGUGUAUGAACCCACGACCAAUCAGGUUCAGUCCAGAAGGGAUCCAUGACGCACUAAGGUGUUGUGGUAGACGUUCUGGUCCAUGGUCCACUAAGGUGUUGUGGUAGACGUUCUGGUUCAUGACACUGUUGGUUUUCACUAACUUGCUGUUUCCACUCAUGGAGCCCAUACUAUGAUGGAACCUCCAGUGUGUUCCACUGUGAGUGCAUCUGGCAUCAAAAUGUUCUCCAGCUGUUCUGAUGAUAUGAGCACGAUGAUGCUGACUGAAGAGUUCAAACUUGGACUCGUCCAUCCAGAGGACCUUCUUCUAGUCACCAUCAGUCCAGUGUUUGUGUUUCUGGAUGUUUGCAGGCCUCAGUAAAGGCUUCUCAGCAGCUCUUCUUCCCUCUAAGCCUUGUUCCAUCAGUCGUCUCUUAUGGUCACUCUGGAGACCUUCUCAGACUCUGGUCUACACUGUGUGCACAAUUAUUAGGCAAAUGAUUAUUUUGACCAUAUCAUCAUUUUAUCCAUAAUUUCCAACUCCAAGCUGUAUAAACUUGAAUGCUUAUUGGAUUUUAUGCAUAUCAGGUGAUGUGUAUUUGUGUAGCGAGGGAAGGUGUGGCCUAAGGAGAUCAACACUCUAUAUCAAGGUGUGCAUAAUUAUUAGGCAGAUUCUUCUCCUCAGGAAAAAUGGGCCAAAAAAGAGAUUUAACUGACUCUGAAAAGUCAAAAAUUGUAAAAAGUCUUUCAGAGGGAUGCAGCACUCUUGAAAUAUCAAAGAUAUUGGGGCGUGAUCACAGAACCAUCAAACGUUUUGUUGCAAAUAGUCAACAGGAUCGCAAGAAACGUGUCAAGAAGAAAAGACGCAAAUGAACCGCCAAAGAUUUGAGAAGAAUCAAGCAUGAAGCAACCAGGAACCCAUUAUCCUCCAGUGCUGCCAUAUUCCACAACUGCAACCUACCUGGAAUGUCAAGGAGUAUGAGGUGUUCAGUUCUCAGAGACAUGGCCAAGGCAAGAAAGGCUGAAACCCCACCACCUCUGAACAAGACACAUAAGUUGAAACGCCAAAAACUGGCCAAGAAAUAUCUGAAGACAGAUUUUUCAAAGGUUUUGUGGACUGAUGAGAUGAGAGUGACUCUUGACGGACCAGAUGGAUGGGCCCGUGGUUGGAUGGGCCCGUGGUUGGAUCAGUAACGGACACAGAGCUCCACUUGGACUCAGACGGCAGCAAGGUGGAGGUGGGG